ACACCUGGUCCUCGGCCCCCCUCUCCUUUUGAUGAUCCUGCAGAUGAUCCCGAGCGCAAGGAGGCUGAAGGCAGCAGCAGCAGCAAGCUAGAGGAUCCAGGGCUCUCUGAAUCUAUGGACAUCGACCCUAGUUCCAGUGUGCUUUUUGAGGACAUGGAAAAGCCUGAUUUCUCAUUGUUCUCCCCUACUAUGCCUUGUGAGGGGAAGGGAAGCCCAUCCCCUGAGAAGCCAGAUGUCGAAAAGGAUGUGAAACCCCCACCCAAAGAGAAGAUUGAGGGGACACUUGGGAUUCUGUAUGACCAGCCACGACAUGUGCAGUAUGCCACACACUUUCCAAUCCCACAGGAGGAGUCAUGCAGCCAUGAGUGCAACCAGCGGUUGGUCGUACUGUUUGGGGUG
rnacentral:lncRNA from 1 species